rnacentral:rRNA from 1 species
UACGAAGGAUGCAAGCGUUAUCCGGAUUCACUGGGUUUAAAGGGUGUGCAGGUGGGAUAAUAAGUCAGUGGUGAAAGCCCCCGACUCAAUCGGGGAACUGCCAUAGAUACUGUUAUUCUUGAGUGUAGUUGAGGUGGGCGGAAUAUGACAUGUAGCGGUGAAAUGCGUAGAUAUGUCAUAGAACACCGAUCGCGAAGGCAGCUCGCCAAACUAUUACCGACGCUGAGGCACGAAAGCGUGGGUAUCAAACAGG